rnacentral:rRNA from 1 species
CUUGAGCACGUAGGUGGGUUUGUAAGUCAGGUGUGAAAGCCUUCUGUUCAACGGGAGAAUUGCAUCUGAAACUACGAAUCUUGAGUGUAGGAGGGGAGAAUGGAACUUCUGGUGGAGCGGUGAAAUGCGUAGAUAUCAGAAGGAACGCCGGCGGCGAAAGCGAUUCUCUGGCCUAUUACUGACACUCAGUGUGCGAAAGCUAGGGGAGCAGACGGGAUUAGAUACCCCGGUAGUCCUAGCCGUAAACGAUGGGCACUAAGUAGUGGGAAUUACCGACGUUCUCUCUGCCGUAGCUAACGCAUUAAGUGCCCCGCCUGGGGAGUACGGCCGCAAGGCUAAAACUCAAAAGAAUUGACGGGGGCUCGCACAAGCGGUGGAGCAUGUGGCUUAAUUCGAUGCAACGCGAAGAACCUUACCGGGGCUUGACAUGGUAGAAGUAGGAACCCGAAAGGGUAACGAACGGUAUCCAGUCCGUGACUAUCACAGGUGUUGCAUGGCUGUCGUCAGCUCGUGUCGUGAGACGUUGGGUUAAGUCCCCUAACGAGCGAAACCCUUGUUUUUAGUUACCAGCGGGUUAUGCCGGGUACUCUAGAAAGACUGCCGUCGUCAAGACGGAGGAAGGUGGGGAUGACGUCAAGUCAUCAUGGCCCUUAUGCCCCGGGCUGCACACGUGCUACAAUGGUCGGUACAAACGGAAGCGAAGCCGAGAGGUAAAGCGAAUCCAAGC